GCCGAAAUGGUGGAAUUGGCAGACGCGCCAGACUCAAAAUCUGGUGGUAGCAAUACCGUGUGGGUUCAAGUCCCACUUUCGGCACCA
rnacentral:tRNA from 2 species